AAUGAACGCUGGCGGCAGGCCUAACACAUGCAAGUCGAACGCCCCGCAAGGGGAGUGGCGCACGGAUGAGUAACGCGUGGGAAUAUGCCCUUCGGUUCGGAAUAACACAGGGAAACUUGUGCUAAUACCGGAUAAGAUCUACGGAUGAAAGAUUCAUCGCCGAAGGAGUAGCCCGCGUAGGAUUAGCUUGUUGGUGAGGUAAUGGCUCACCAAGGCGACGAUCCUUAGCUGGUCUGAGAGGAUGAUUAGCCACACUGGGACUGAGACACGGCCCAGACUCCUACGGGAGGCAGCAGUGGGGAAUAUUGGACAAUGGGCGAAAGCCUGAUCCAGCCAUGCCGCGUGAGUGAUGAAGGCCUUAGGGUUGUAAAGCUCUUUCGCCAGGGAAGAUAAUGACGGUACCUGGAAAAGAAGCCUCGGCUAACUCCGUGCCAGCCGCCGCCGUAA
rnacentral:rRNA from 1 species